AGAGUAUGAUCCUGGCUCAGGACGAACGCUGGCGGCGUGCUUAACACAUGCAAGUCGAGCGGAAAGGCCCUUCGGGGUACUCGAGCGGCGAACGGGUGGGUAACACGUGAGUAAUCUGCCCCUGACUCUGGGAUAAGCCCAGAAAACUGGGUCUAAUACCGGAUAUGACACCUCCCCGCAUGGGGUGGGUGUGGAAAGUUUUUCGGUUGGGGAUGGACUCGCGGCCUAUCAGCUUGUUGGUGGGGUAAUGGCCUACCAAGGCGACGACGGGUAGCCGGCCUGAGAGGGCGACCGGCCACACUGGGACUGAGACACGGCCCAGACUCCUACGGGAGGCAGCAGUGGGGAAUAUUGCGCAAUGGGCGAAAGCCUGACGCAGCGACGCCGCGUGGGGGAUGACGGCCUUCGGGUUGUAAACCUCUUUCAGCAGGGACGAAGUUGACGUGUACCUGCAGGAGAAGCGCCGGCUAACUGCGUGCCAGCAGCCGCGGUAAUACGUAGGGCGCAAGCGUUGUCCGGAAUUAUUGGGUGUAAAGAGCCCGUAGGUGGCUUGUCACGUCGGGUGUAAAAGCUUGGGGCUUAACUCCAGGUCUGCAUUCGAUACGGGCUGGCUAGAGGUAGGGGAGAACGGAAUUCCUGGUGUAGCGGUGAAAUGCGCAGAUAUCAGGAGGAACACCGGUGGCGAAGGCGGUUCUCUGGGCCUUACCUGACGCUGAGGAGCGAAAGCGUGGGGAGCGAACAGGAUUAGAUACCCUGGUAGUCCACGCUGUAAACGUUGGGCGCUAGGUGUGGGGACCUUCCACGGUUUCCGCGCCGUAGCUAACGCAUUAAGCGCCCCGCCUGGGGAGUACGGCCGCAAGGCUAAAACUCAAAGGAAUUGGCGGGGGCCCGCACAAGCGGCGGAGCAUGUUGCUUAAUUCGACGCAACGCGAAGAACCUUACCAAGGCUUGACAUUGCCCGGAAACACUCAGAGAUGGGUGCCUCUUCGGAUCGGGUGACAGGUGGUGCAUGGCUGUCGUCAGCUCGUGUCGUGAGAUGUUGGGUUAAGUCCCGCAACGAGCGCAACCCUUGUUCAAUGUUGCCAGCACGCUCCCUCGGGGGUGGUGGGGACUCAUUGGAGACUGCCGGGGUCAACUCGGAGGAAGGUGGGGAUGACGUCAAGUCAUCAUGCCCCUUAUGUCUUGGGCUGCAAACAUGCUACAAUGGCCGGUACAGAGGGCUGCGAUACCGCAAGGUGGAGCGAAUCCCUAAAAGCCGGUCUCAGUUCGGAUUGGGGUCUGCAACUCGACCCCAUGAAGUCGGAGUCGCUAGUAAUCGCAGAUCAGCAACGCUGCGGUGAAUACGUUCCCGGGCCUUGUACACACCGCCCGUCACGUCACGAAAGUCGGCAACACCCGAAGCCCGUGGCCCAACCAGCUUGCUGGGGGGAGCGGUCGAAGGUGGGGCUGGCGAUUGGGACGAAGUCGGAACAAGGUA
rnacentral:rRNA from 1 species